AAUAGAUACCCUGGUAGUCCACGCCGUAAACGAUGAGUGCUAAGUGUUAGAGGGUUUCCGCCCUUUAGUGCUGCAGCUAACGCAUUAAGCACUCCGCCUGGGGAGUACGGCCGCAAGGCUGAAACUCAAAGGAAUUGACGGGGGCCCGCACAAGCGGUGGAGCAUGUGGUUUAAUUCGAAGCAAUGCGAAGAACCUUACCAGGUCCUGACAUCCUCUGACAACCCUAGAGAUAGGGCGUUCCCCUUCGGGGGACAGAGUGACAGGUGGUGCAUGGUUGUCGUCAGCUCGUGUCGUGAGAUGUUGGGUUAAGUCCCGCAACGAGCGCAACCCUUGACCUUAGUUGCCAGCAUUCAGUUGGGCACUCUAAGGUGACUGCCGGUGACAAACCGGAGGAAGGUGAGGAUGACGUCAAACCAUCAUGCCCCUUAUGACCUGGGCUACACACGUGCUACAAUGGAUGGUACAAAGGGCUGCGAGACCGCGAGGUUAAGCCAAUCCCAUAAAACCAUUCUCAGUUCGGAUUGCAGG
rnacentral:rRNA from 1 species